UACGUAGGGUGCAAGCGUUGUUCGGAAUUACUGGGCGUAAAGCGUGCGCAGGCGGUUUUGUAAGCCAGAUGUGAAAGCCCCGGGCUCAACCUGGGAAUGGCAUUUGGGACUGCAAGGCUUGAGUGCGGCAGAGGAGACUGGAAUUCCUGGUGUAGCAGUGAAAUGCGUAGAUAUCAGGAGGAAUACCGAUGGCGAAGGCAGGUCUCUGGGCUGACACUGACGCUCAUGCACGAAAGCGUGGGGAGCAAACAGG
rnacentral:rRNA from 1 species